CAGAUUUAUCUGCUUGAUUUCCGGAUUGUCCCUGCAUAAGGAUGCAGAGGAGGGCAGAUGGUGACAGAGUUCCUGAUAAUGAAACAACAGGUCAUCCCUUGGGUUCAGUGGCCUCCUUCAUCAUGUUACUGGCUGCAGUGGACUUAGGAAUGCGGUGAACACAGGGGAUAGAGAAUGACUCAGAACAGAAAUCUCUAGGCCAGUGGGGAGCAGACGUUUCAUCAGAGUAUCUGAUUGCUUGAAGAUGAUGAAGGAGGGUUUUGGGAUGCAGAAUUUUCUAAAACCACCUGGAAGCCUGGGAACCUCUCCCUCCAGCCACAAGGCCCUGCCCCACACCCUGCAGCAGCCAAUGUGGAAAAUCACACUCCAACCACCGCAACAAUAGGCCCCAAGGGUCAGGACUUGGACAGUGACUCACAGCUUCGCCAUUUUCAUUCCUUUCCAUGUAGAAUCAAAUGCGGGGAAAGCCAAAUAUGUUCCCUUAAGUAAUCACUUAGGACGCCCCUCUUCCUAUCAACUUGUCUCCAGCCUCCUCACAUCACAAGCUCUGGGGAGCACAUGCCUUCCUUUUUUUGCCACCAGAAAGUGUCCCCACACUUAUGUGUGCCCUGAGUCUCAGCCUGAUGUGAGUGGUGGUGGCUGACUCCUGUGCUCUAUAGACAAGUUCUGAGUAAAUAGUGCUUGUUCUCAUUUGGUGUGUGUGUUGGGGGGUCUUUUUUCAUAUCUACAGAGCUUAGGAUGGCAGGAAGCAAAUAAAACUCAUGAUAAUGUUUCCCAUGUUAUUUUAAAAAUCACAUUUAUUAAUCACCAUUUUUUAAGUUGAGACAUAAUUCACAUACUAUAAAAUUCACUCUUUGAAAAGUGUAGAAUUUAGUGAUUGAUAAUCUAUUCACAAAGUUGUGCAACCAUUGGCACUAAUAACAGAACAUUUAAUCACCUCAAAAAGAAACCCCAUCCCCAUUAGUCUCUUCUAUUCCACCUAUGCUCAGGCCACGGCCACCACAAAUGUGCUUUCUGUCUCCAUGGAUAUGCCUAUUCUCAAUAUUUCAUGUGACUGGAAUCAUACAAUAUGUGCCCUUUAUGUCUGGCUUCUUAUACUGAAUAUCAUGCUUUUGAGGCUCAUGCUUUAGAAUGUAUCAGUAAUGUACUCCUUCGUUUGGCCUAAGAAUUUUUCUUUUUAAGCCAUAAGAUUUUACGUACAUUCA